AACUCUUUUUUCCAUUAAUUGCUUUUGGACAUAACAUUUUAACACAGCAACACAACUCCACCUUCUCACUCCUCUCAGAUUUAUGUCUUUUUUUUUUUUUUUAAAAUAACUCAGGGGCCUGCCCUUAAAGAAAACUGACCCUCGCUCUUCCACGAAACGUCAACUGUUAUUAGUAUAAGCCCCUCCUCGAAUGCUGACUGGCUGACCUUGUGCAGGCAACUACAGCUGCUGUGAGUUCAUGAGUGCAAUGGUCCUGUCAUGCCCAGAAGACACUGUCUUGCUCCAGUCCUCUCUGACCUCUGUCUCUUACAAUUUUCUACCCCAUCUUCCAUGAAGGUCCCCAAGUCUUAUGGUGGUUGGAGGAGCCCGUGACAUAGAUGUCAUGUUGGUGUCUGAGCACUUCACAGAUGGCUGUUCUCUGCACCUUGACUGGUUGUGAGUUACUGCCUUAACUAUUGCACAAAGAAACUUCUCUGAUGAGGUUUGAGAGCUGAAUGAAUCUAUGGGGAUAGAGAUCUGAAUUUAGAGAACCACUUAAUACUGUGUCUAAUAGGAGUAUCAGCUUUAUCCCUAAGGUCAGUCGGCCACCCUUUCAACCAUGGAUUCUUAGCCAGAUUUAUAGCAACAGCCACUCAUUUCCCCCUACAGUGCAGAUUUAACAUCCAAUUGGAAAGCAGUUGGCUACUGCUAUAAAAUGUGUGUCGCUAUUUUACUCAUGGGCGUAUCUUGCCACACUGUCAUUAUUGUAGUUCACAGGGUUCUCAGCUGUGUAAGACUUCUCCACCCCCACAGCAGCCUACAUAACAACUUCUGGUACAAUUAAAGCUAUCCAUCAGAGAAGAAGCGUCCUGGUCAGUACCAACUUCGUUUCUCUAUGUUCUGUGACCAAAAUUUCCCAUGUCUUUAGCAAUAAGGUCAUUGCAUAUUGGUAUUAAUAAAAAAUGCUCUCACAUAUUUAUAGAGUUAUACUUUAUAUACUUAACAAUUUUCUCCCUUAAACUAAAUUCACUGACACUUUGUAUAUUCACAGAAUUAUUGCUUCUGAAGACUCCCAAAUUCUUAGUAUAAGCAUAAUAUUGCUUUUCCAUGCUUCACUACAUUUUGGCCAGCAACAUUUUACAGAGACAAGAGGCUGCUGAUUCCUUCAGGGUUAAUAUGGAUCAGGUUUGAUCAGGACCAUGAACAGCAAGAUAUGGUUAAUGACUAUUGAGAUUGCAACAUGUCAAACUGGACAGGAAAAAAGCCCAAGGGGUCUCAACCCUACUCAGUAAUUACAGAAAGCUGAAGAAAGCUGAGAGUGGGUGAGGUGGUUCUCCCCAGAGAUGAGAACAUAAAUUGGUUGUCCUGUACCAACCAGUCAGCCCCGAACACGUACAUACAAGUGACAUUAUAUAGACUCAACAGGCUUUAUCUAGGAAUAUAUAGCUCACAUGACUGUUCAACACAACUACAACCAUUUGUGGCUCAUUGAAGAGGAACCUGGGACUGAGAGAGGAAACCGAAAGAAGAGGGGCUUUGCUGUCUGUACAAUAAUAUAAUUGUUAAAGAUCAACACUCUUCGGUUCUUAGUUUAAAUGGAUUUCUUCUGCACAAGACCGAAUAACAAGAGAAAGAGUGAGGUUCAUUUGUGUGUUCUUAAAUCCUCAAGAGACACCCGAGAAUGGGAGUUUCAAGCUUUACAAAAAAACAUGACUAAGAUAAGGGAGAUGAUGUUGUGCAGAGUGUGGAUGAUCUGAAGUGGAGCUCUACAGAGAAAACCAAGAAGCUUCACCUUCAUUAGAGGAACUAUUGGCAGCUGUUGGCUGUUGGGGAGUGGGAGUCAUUUUCUUUGGAAACUUGACUGUUGGUGGGUUGUCCGUGCUCUGGAUGGUGGAUGGCCCUACACUCAUCGUCAUGAAGUAGCACUAAUUUGGCUCAGUGGGUUAUAAAACGAAAACAAGAAAAAGGAUGAAGACAUGAAGAUAAGAGGAGAAUAAUUUGGGAAGGGGGUUGGGUGGUUGGGGAGGAGUUUUGGGGACAUGGAUAUGACACAUAAUAUACAUGUAUGAA